rnacentral:rRNA from 1 species
CGGUAAUACGGAGGGUGCAAGCGUUGUUCGGAAUUACUGGGCUUAAAGAGCGUGUAGGCGGAAAGUCAGGUGUCGAGUGAAAGCCCCGGUCUCAAACCGGGAAUGGCUUGGCAAACCGGCUUUCUUGAGGCAGGUAGAGGUGACUGGAACGACUGGUGGAGCGGUGAAAUGCGUAGAUAUCAGUUGGAACGCCAGCGGCGAAAGCGAGUCACUGGGCCUGUCCUGACGCUGAGACGCGAAAGCGUGGGUAGCAAACAGGAUUAGAUACCCUGGUAGUCCACGCCGUAAACGAUGCGCACUAGGUAUGAGAGACUCUGACGUCGAUCGUGCCGUAGUAAAAGCGAUAAGUGCGCCGCCUGGGGAGUACGGCCCGCAAGGCUAAAACUCAAAGGAAUUGACGGGGGCUCACACAAGCGGUGGAGCAUGUGGAUUAAUUCGAAGCAACGCGAAGAACCUUACCUGGGUUUGACAUGCUAGGAUGCCCUCCUAGAAACAGGAGUAAGCUGCCUUCGGGUGAAACUAGCACAGGUGCUGCAUGGCUGUCGUCAGCUCGUGCUGUGAAGUGUCGGGUUAAGUCCCUUAACGAGCGAAACCCCUAUCGUUAGUUGCCAGCGGGUCAUGCCGGGGACUCUAGCGAGACUGCCGGUGUCAAACCGGAGGAAGGCGGGGACGACGUCAAGUCAUCAUGGCCUUUAUGCCCAGGGUGUCUCACGUGCUACAAUGGUCGGUACAGAGCGACGCGAUACCGCGAGGUGGAGCAAAUCGCAGAAAGCCGGCCCCAGUUCGGAUUGGAGUCUGCAAUUCGACUCCAUGAAGGAGGAAUCGCUAGUAAUCGCGUAUCAGCCACGACGCGGUGAAUGUGUUCCUGAG